rnacentral:rRNA from 1 species
GAUGAACGCUGGCGGCGUGCCUAAUACAUGCAAGUCGAGCGAACAGACGAGGAGCUUGCUUCUCUGACGUUAGCGGCGGACGGGGGAGUAACACGUGGAUAACCUACCUAUAAGACUGGGAUAACUUCGGGAAACCGGAGCUAAUACCGGAUAAUAUAUUGAACCGCAUGGUUCAAUAGUGACAGACGGUUUUGCUGUCACUUAUAGAUGGAUCCGCGCCGCAUUAGCUAGUUGGUAAGGUAACGGCUUACCAAGGCAACGAUGCGUAGCCGACCUGAGAGGGUGAUCGGCCACACUGGAACUGAGACACGGUCCAGACUCCUACGGGAGGCAGCAGUAGGGAAUCUUGCGCAAUGGGCGAAAGCCUGACGGAGCAACGCCGCGUGAGUGAUGAAGGUCUUCGGAUCGUAAAACUCUGUUAUUAGGGAAGAACAAAUGUGUAAGUAACUAUGCACGUCUUGACGGUACCUAAUCAGAAAGCCACGGCUAACUACGUG